rnacentral:rRNA from 1 species
ACAUCCAGAGAAUUUAGCAGAGAUGCUUUAGUGGCCUUCGGGGGAACUCUGAGACAGGUGCUGCAUGGCUGUCGUCAGCUCGUGUUGUGAAAUGUUGGGUAAGUCCCGCAACGAGCGCAACCUUAUCCUUUGUUGCCAGCACGUAAUGGUGGGAACUCAAAGGAGACUGCCGGUGAUAAACCGGAGGAAGGUGGGGAUGACGUCAAGUCAUCAUGGCCCUUACGAGUAGGGCUACACACGUGCUACAAUGGCGCAUACAAAGAGAAGCGACCUCGCGAGAGCAAGCGGACCUCAUAAAGUGCGUCGUAGUCCGGAUUGGAGUCUGCAACUCGACUCCAUGAAGUCGGAAUCGCUAGUAAUCGUAAAUCAGAAUGUUACGGUGAAUACGUUCCCGGGCCUUGUACACACCGCCCGUCACACCAUGGGAGUGGGUUGCAAAAGAAGUAGAUAGCUUAACCUUCGGGAGGGCGUUUACCACUUUGUGAUUCAUGACUGGGGUGAAGUCGUAACAAGGUAAGCGUAGUGCU